CCAUUACUCACUUAUAUACCAAUACAAUAAAUAAGUCCGGUUGCUUGAACCAUGGAUGAAUGUUGCACAAAGAUUACCACAUCGAGCAGUUCUAAUCAUUCAAUGGUCAGCUUGCAAGCUUUAGGUGGUCUAGGAGCUGGUAUAAUAGCUCUGAGGUACCCAGGGAUACUGUACUGGGGCUUUACAAAUGUGGAUGAAAUCCUUCGCAUGGGGAAGAGUGCGUCAGCACCUCGAAUUUGGCUGUUGACUCAAUUGGUGGGGGCCAAAGUUGUGGCGACUGCUCUUUGCAGGGGAUCUGGGCUUGUGGGUGCUCUUUAUGCCCCAAGCUUGAUGAUCGGUGCUGCUCUUGGUGCCGUGUUUGGGGGUUCGGCUGCAGAAAUCAUCAAUUCAGCCAUCCUAGGAAAUGUUGCUGUUGCCCAGCCACAGGCCUACGCUCUGGUCGGGAUAGUUGCUGCGCUAGCUUCAGUUUGUUCAGUUCCCUUGACAUCAGUGCUACUUCUGUUUGAGCUGACAAAGGAUCACAGAAUUUUGCUUGCACUCAUGGCUCGCCUUCAGGUUCCUGAAACAGUUGUCCAGCAGAUAUUUUUGUUAAACAGCCUUGAUGUGGAGCUUUAUAAGCAUGCGCAGGAGGACAUCUUUGCACAGCAGCAGACACAUCUUGCUGAGAAGUUGGAUAAAGUGUUUAACAGAAUCAGAAAAGUUCAAUGACAGAGAGCGAAUGGCCAAAAGUGGAGGUGGGGGCAUUGUGGUCUGUAAUAAUAACCAACUGCCAAUUACAAUUCCAUGCGUCUCAAGUUGGCUUGAAACAAUGAAAAUUGCUUCUGCACCCCUUCCAUGAAAAUCUCUCUCUACACUCUAAAAACACCUAAACCCCCCAGAGUGCCCAAAAGCUUCAUCUUAUUUCUCUGAGAAGCGAUGGAGAAGACGAUGCUGUAAGGAAAGGCUACUUGGGAUGGUCCAAACCGGAGGACAGGUUUUUCAAUGAUCUGCCUACCACAUUGCAUAAGAGUAAUGCAGGACUGCCCAUUUUUGGAGGUUUGUGUCCUUAUCUCACAUAUGAUGCUCUUGUGCAUCUUUGGAGGGACAUGUCUAAUUUU